rnacentral:rRNA from 1 species
AAUAUUGGACAAUGGGGGAAACCCUGAUCCAGCCAUGCCGCGUGUGUGAAGAAGGUCUUCGGAUUGUAAAGCACUUUAAGUUGGGAGGAAGGGCGUCAAGCUAAUACCUUGAUGCUUUGACGUUACCAACAGAAUAAGCACCGGCUAACUUCGUGCCAGCAGCCGCGGUAAUACAGAGGGUGCAAGCGUUAAUCGGAAUUACUGGGCGUAAAGCGCGCGUAGGUGGUUUGUUAAGUUGGAAGUGAAAGCCCCGGGCUCAACCUGGGAACUGCUUUCAAAACUGGCAAGCUAGAGUAUGGCAGAGGGUGGUGGAAUUUCCUGUGUAGCGGUGAAAUGCGUAGAUAUAGGAAGGAACACCAGUGGCGAAGGCGACUCUCUGGACUGCAACUGACGCUGAGGCACGAAAGCGUGGGGAGCAAAC